rnacentral:rRNA from 1 species
ACGAACGCUGGCGGCGUGCCUAACACAUGCAAGUCGAGCGAUGAAACCCUUCGGGGUGGAUUAGCGGCGGACGGGUGAGUAACACGUGGGUAACCUGCCUCAAAGAGGGGAAUAGCCUCCCGAAAGGGAGAUUAAUACCGCAUAAUAUGUUUUAGUCGCAUGAUUGAAACAUCAAAGGAGUCUUCUUCUUCGGAAGAAGCAUCCACUUUGAGAUGGACCCGCGGCGCAUUAGCUAGUUGGUGAGGUAACGGCUCACCAAGGCGACGAUGCGUAGCCGACCUGAGAGGGUGAUCGGCCACAUUGGAACUGAGAUACGGUCCAGACUCCUACGGGAGGCAGCAGUGGGGAAUAUUGCGCAAUGGAGGAAACUCUGACGCAGCAACGCCGCGUGAAUGAUGAAGGCCUUAGGGUUGUAAAGUUCUGUCUUCUGGGGCGAUAAUGACGGUACCAGAGGAGGAAGCCACGGCUAACUACGU